rnacentral:lncRNA from 10 species
GUACAUUUUACAGUAAACCUCGGGUUCUAAAACAGGUCUUUCUAAGAAAUGAGUAAUGGAACAGAGAGAGAAGCUUAAAGGAAAAGCCAGUGUUUGGCUUCCUGAAGGGAGAAAGAUUUAACAUGACAGGGUGUGAAUCCGAGGGAACGCUGGCUAGUAAUAAAACUAGGGGCCUGCAGGAAGGAAUCUUGGAAGAUUUUGAAGUUGCCCGGGACUCCCAGGUUGAAGAUCAUGAGCAUGCCCUGAUGAGCCAAGGCAUGCAACCACAGGGGAACCUAAGUGCUUGGACUGAGGAGUGGGGACUGAAAUAAGAAGCGGACACUGCAGGGCAGGAUCAGGAUCCAAUCAGAUCGAGCCCUGGCAUCACCUCAUGGCAGGAUCUAGUCAGAUCGUGGCUUUUGACAUCACUUCAUUGUGAAAUCCAAUCAGAUCACACCUUAUUACCCUAUCCUUAUAAAACCGGACCUAGCCCCCAGCUCGAGGAGGCACUGCUUUGGGAGUUAUCCCAGGUGUUCUUGUUACUAGUUGCAAGGAAUAAAAUCCUCUUGCUAAAUCCUCCUUGGUUGUGCAGAUGUUGGCAUGGAUGUGGAGAGAAGGGAACACUUACGCUUUGUUGGUGAGGAUGUAAAUUAGCUCAACUCUGUGAUAAACAGUAUGGAGAGUUUUCAAAGAACUAAAAAUAGAACUUCUACUCAACCCAGCAAUCCUAUGAGUGCAUGAGUGGGUAUCUACCCAAAGGAA